rnacentral:rRNA from 1 species
CUACGGGAGGCACCAGUGAGGAAUAUUGCACAAUGGGGGCAACCCUGAUGCAGCAACGCCGCGUGGAGGAUGACGCAUUUCGGUGUGUAAACUCCUUUUAUCAGAGAAGAACCAUGACGGUAUCUGAUGAAUAAGCUCCGGCUAACUCCGUGCCAGCAGCCGCGGUAAUACGGAGGGAGCAAGCGUUAUUCGGAAUCACUGGGCGUAAAGGACGCGUAGGCCGGUCUGUAAGUCAGGUGUGAAAUGCAAUGGCUCAACCAUUGAACUGCACUUGAAACUGCGGACCUAGAGUAUGGAAGGGGCAGAUGGAAUUAGUGGUGUAGGGGUAAAAUCCGUAGAUAUCACUAGGAAUACCGAAAGCGAAGGCGAUCUGCUGGGACAUAACUGACGCUGAGGCGUGAAAGCGUGGGGAGCAAACAGGAUUAGAUACCCGCGUAGUC